rfam:Puccinia triticina 1-1 BBBD Race 1 supercont2.35, whole genome shotgun sequence.
GUUUCUGUAGCCUAGUUGGUAAAGGCAGCACUCUAGUAUAUGUCUCAGCAUAGCUGAGGUCGUGAGUUCAAAUCUCAACAGACACA